rnacentral:lncRNA from 1 species
GGCCAGGUAUAAUACACACGUUUACCAUUUUACAGUCAUAUGUACAGGAAGUUGCUAGGGCAGCCCCGGGCAGGGGGCUGCCUCAGGCCUAUCGAAGCGUGGACAGAGCUGAGGACACGACGGACAGGCGGACGGACUGGCCCGAGCCGGUGGUGGCUGCACAGGGAAGGGCAUCGCAGUAGCUCCCUGCCCGGCAAGGGCCGGGUGGGGCUCUGGGUUGUGGGGGCGCACGGACGCGCGGUGGCGACACACGGGAGAAGCGAGCAUGUUCCCAACAUAUAUACAUUCUAUGUAACAUAUAUAUAGAGGGGUACACAGGUUUUGUACACGAAUCUAGCGCUGUCCCUGCUCCCGUGACAAGUGGCGCUGCAAUCCCUAGAGACCAGUGAUGGUGCACGGAGGCACCAUCCGCGCGUCCGUCGGCCGGAGGUGGGCUCUUCAGGGCGGCCGUUCCGGUCACGUGUUUUCUGCUUCGCUCCAGGCUGGGCUCCAGGGGUGAGGUGGAGAACUGGGAAGGUUACGACAGAAGCCAAAGGGUCUCCCAUUCUGCCCGCACCCAGGGAGCCGCGUCCUCUGAGCGUAGGCCCACAUCUACCCCAGAUUUGCCCGAGCCGCACGGCAGCUUCGGCAAAGGCUGGGUGGGAAGCAUGCUUGGACAAGUUCCGAAAGGUUUGCUCCAAAGCCUCUGGCCCGCUCCCCCCAUCAACCUGGCCCUCUCCUAAAAGGCCUCGGUUCUCCCACCUCAUCUACGGAGCUAGGAGCCACCCUCGGCCUCUUCCAGGGUCAUCUGGACCCCCACCCCUGACCCCAGGGCGCCCAGCCACGUGCCACAACCGACUGGGGUGGUGGCAGCACCCACGAGGAAUGUGUGCCAGGUCAUCCUUAGGACUUCUGGGGUAAAAAAGCGUCCCCGGGCCAAAGCCUCUCCCACUCCCGCCGGAGACUGGGUGCCUGGAGGAGUCUGGCCGCUUCGCGCCUCCCCCUCUCCAAGCCUGGCUCCAGGGGUGUGGGCAAGAAAGCCCUGUGCCGUCCGGUUCCGGGAGCAGGGUACUCCGGAACAGGUUUUCUCCCCAACCCGGGGCCACACGCUUGGGCCCUCGGUGGCCGGAUCCAAGAUCCGGCACCCGGAUCAAGGAUCAGCUCUGGACGCACGCUAGGAGCAACUCCAGGAGGCUCCUCUCCUUCGGCGGCGGGCGGCAGGCGGGCUCCGGCGGCUCCUCCGGCUGUUUGGUGCAUUACAACGGCAGCCUCUGCGAGAGAACAGGGAACUAGACUGCGGGUCAGGCUCUCCCACAGCCCUAAAGCGCUGAUCCCGCCCCUGCUGCAACCCUGCCCACAAGGGUGCGCCCCCUAGCCCGGCAGCAGUCAUCUGUCUUUUCCCAGUAAAAGCGUUGGGCCCCUCCUCUGGCUUUCCUUCUGUCCCCCUUCACCAGCGUGUCCUCCGCCCUGUCCCCCUGCCCCCUUCCCCCGCCUGUCCUCCCCUGUCCCGUUUGAAGAGGGUUAUGGGAGAUUCUUCCAGGGACAGCUCAUG